rnacentral:rRNA from 1 species
CAGCAGCCGCGGGAACACGGAGGGGGCUAGCGUUGUUCGGAAUUACUGGGCGUAAAGCGCACGUAGGCGGCUUGGUAAGUUAGAGGUGAAAGCCCGGAGCUCAACUCCGGAAUUGCCUUUAAGACUGCCGAGCUAGUAGGUGAGAGAGGUAAGUGGAAUUCCGAGUGUAGAGGUGAAAUUCGCAGAUAUUCGGAAGAACACCAGUGGCGAAGGCGGCUUACUGGCUCAUUCUAGACGCUGAGGUGCGAAAGCGUGGGGAGCAAACAGGAUUAGAUACCCCCGUAGUCCCUGUCUCUUAUAC